UACGAAGGGGGCUAGCGUUGCUCGGAAUCACUGGGCGUAAAGGGUGCGUAGGCGGGUCUUUAAGUCAGGGGUGAAAUCCAUGGAGCUCAACUCCAGAACUGCCUUUGAUACUGAAGAUCUUGAGUUCGGGAGAGGUGAGUGGAACUGCGAGUGUAGAGGUGAAAUUCGUAGAUAUUCGCAAGAACACCAGUGGCGAAGGCGGCUCACUGGCCCGAUACUGACGCUGAGGCACGGAAAGCGUGGGGAGCAAAGCAGG
rnacentral:rRNA from 1 species